CAACUUUCAGCAACGGAUCUCUUGGCUCUCGCAUCGAUGAAGAACGCAGCGAAAUGCGAUAAGUAAUGUGAAUUGCAGAAUUCAGUGAAUCAUCGAAUCUUUGAACGCACCUUGCGCUCCUUGGUAUUCCGAGGAGCAUGCCUGUUUGAGUGUCAUUAAAUUAUC
rnacentral:rRNA from 1 species